rnacentral:rRNA from 1 species
CCUACGGGUGGCAGCAGUGGUGAAUAUUGGGCAAUGGAGGAAACUCUGACCCAGCAAUGCCGCGUGAAUGAAGAAGGUCUUCGGAGUGUAAAGUUCUUUAGUCAGGGAAGUAUAAAAUGACGGUACCUGAAGAAUAAGCUCCGUCUAACUACGUGCCAGCAGCCGCGGUAAUACGUAGGGAGCAAGCGUUGUUCGGAAUGACUGGGUGUAAAGGGUGCGUAGGCGGUUAUACAAGUUAGAAGGGAAAAAGCCAGGGCUUAACUCGGGUGCUGCUACUAAAACUGUAAGACUUGAGUGCAGUAGAGGUUAGUGGAAUUCCUAGUGUAGCGGUGAAAUGCGUAGAUAUUAGGAAGAACACCAGAGGCGAAGGCAGCUAACUGGACUGCAACUGACGCUGAGGCACGAAAGUGUGGGGAGCAAACAGGAUUAGAUACCCCGGUAGUC